rnacentral:ncRNA from 2 species
CAGUAAAAACAGGGGAGCUUGUAAUGGCAGGCUGAGAGGAAGUCAUCAACUUCGACCCUUUACCUGAUACGGAUAAUGCCGUCGUAGGAAGUCAUAGUUGUUGAUUU